rnacentral:rRNA from 1 species
GUUCCGUAGGUGAACCUGCGGAGGGAUCAUUACCGAGUUUACAACUCCCAAACCCAAUGUGAACGUUACCAAACUGUUGCCUCGGCGGGGUCACGCCCCGGGUGCGUCGCAGCCCCGGAACCAGGCGCCCGCCGGAGGAACCAACCAAACUCUUUCUGUAGUCCCCUCGCGGACGUAUUUCUUUACAGCUCUGAGCAAAAAUUCAAAAUGAAUCAAAACUUUCAACAACGGAUCUCUGGUUCUGGCAUCGAUGAAGAACGCAGCGAAAUGCGAUAAGUAAUGUGAAUUGCAGAAUUCAGUGAAUCAUCGAAUCUUUGAACGCACAUUGCGCCCGCCAGUAUUCUGGCGGGCAUGCCUGUCCGAGCGUCAUUUCAACCCUCGAACCCCUCCGGGGGAUCGGCGUUGGGGAUCGGGACCCCUCACACGGGUGCCGGCCCCUAAAUACAGUGGCGGUCUCGCCGCAGCCUCUCCUGCGCAGUAGUUUGCACAACUCGCACCGGGAGCGCGGCGCGUCCACGUCCGUAAAACACCCAACUUUCUGAAAUGUUGACCUCGGAUCAGGUAGGAAUACCCGCUGAACUUAAGCAUAUCAAUAAGC